CUGAGACAGGUGCUGCAUGGCUGUCGUCAGCUCGUGUUGUGAAAUGUUGGGUUAAGUCCCGCAACGAGCGCAACCCUUAUCCUUGUUUGCCAGCACAUAAUGGUGGGAACUCCAGGGAGACUGCCGGUGAUAAACCGGAGGAAGGUGGGGACGACGUCAAGUCAUCAUGGCCCUUACGAGUAGGGCUACACACGUGCUACAAUGGCAGAUACAGAGGGCAGCGAAGCUGCGAAGUGGAGCGAAUCCCUUAAAGUCUGUCGUAGUCCGGAUUGGAGUCUGCAACUCGACUCCAUGAAGUCGGAAUCGCUAGUAAUCGUGGAUCAGAAUGCCACGGUGAAUACGUUCCCGGGCCUUGUACACACCGCCCGUCACACCAUGGGAGUGGGCUGCACCAGAAGUAGAUAGCUUAACCUUCGGGAGGGCGUUUACCACGGUGUGGUUCAUGACUGGGGUGAAGUCGUAACAAGGUAGCCCUAGGGGAACCUGGGGCUGGAUCACCUCCUUACU
rnacentral:rRNA from 1 species